UGUCCAUCUUGUAAAGGUCAUGUGUAUGGUAAGCUCCGCAGUUGUAAACAAGAUGUACGCAGGCGCUAACCGCUCGAAUGGCGGCGGCGACGGCGACGGCGGCGACUCGAUACGCGAUACGCCACGACUUGGCGUAACUAUCAUGUCGACUAAACACCGCAAUGCGGUGGAUCCUCCCGGAGGUCAUUCAAGUUGCGCCUACAUCCUUCCGAGAAACGUAAGUUAUCGACGAUCGAGGCUGGGUGAAGUGUGCCUUUUAAAUAGUGAAUAACGAACGGCUCGUUUUAUUUGACACUUCCAAAUCAUGUAAAAUAUCGUUGGAUCUCGGUAAAUCGAAGUCGAAAGGAAAAUAUUUCGGGUUAUAGAGAAUCUUUAUUCGAAUUUCGAUUAAUAGAAGCUCGAAAUCAUUUUUCGAUGCUGGCUGUACUUGCCAACUUUUCAAAAUAAUAAUUCGAUUUCAUUCGAGCUAGUUUAUUUAAAAUAAACACAGCCAGACCUAGAUGCCAUUUCAAAUAACAGUCGCCAAAAGGAAUGCGAC